rnacentral:rRNA from 1 species
GACGAACGCUGGCGGCGUGCUUAACACAUGCAAGUCGAACGGAAAGGCCUGCUUUCCCUUGUGGAUUGCGGGUACUCGAGUGGCGAACGGGUGAGUAACACGUGAGUGAUCUGCCCCCAACUUGGGUAUAAGCCUGGGAAACUGGGUCUAAUUCCCGAUAGGACUGCAGGGUGGUGCCUGUGGUGGCAAACGAUUUUCUAGUGGUUGGGGAUGAGCUCGCGGCCUAUCAGCUUGUUGGUGGGGUAAUGGCCGACCAAGGCGGCGACGGGUAGCCGGCCUGAGAGGGUGGACGGCCACAUUGGGACUGGGAUACGGCCCAGACUCGUGCGGGAGGCAGCAGUGGGGAAUAAUGCACAAUGGGCGGAAGGCUGAUGCAGCGACGCAGCGUGGGGGAUGACGGCCUUCGGGUUGUAAACUCCUUUCGACCGCGAGGAAGCCACCUGGUUGGAAGGGUGGUGACGGUAGUGGUAGAAGAAGCACCGGCUAACUACGUG